rnacentral:sRNA from 1 species
GCCAGGUGCAGUGGCGCACGCCUGUAAUCCCAGUGACUCAGGAGGCUGAGGCAGGAGGAUCACAUGUUUGAGGCCAGCCUCAGCCUCUCAAUGAGACCCUACUUCAA